rnacentral:rRNA from 1 species
GCUCAGGAUGAACGCUAGCUACAGGCUUAACACAUGCAAGUCGAGGGGCAGCAUGAAGUUUGCUUGCAAACUUUGAUGGCGACCGGCGCACGGGUGAGUAACACGUAUCCAACCUUCCCAUAACUCGGGGAUAGCCUUUCGAAAGAAAGAUUAAUACCCGAUAGUACUUAUAUAGGGCAUCCUACAUAAGUUAAAGAUUUAUUGGUUAUGGAUGGGGAUGCGUUCCAUUAGAUAGUUGGUGAGGUAACGGCUCACCAAGUCUUCGAUGGAUAGGGGUUCUGAGAGGAAGGUCCCCCACAUUGGUACUGAGACACGGACCAAACUCCUACGGGAGGCAGCAGUGAGGAAUAUUGGUCAAUGGGCGAGAGCCUGAACCAGCCAAGUA